GGUCUAUGUUGCAGGAUCCUUCUCGGGCACUCCAAUUAUCUUAACUAAGACUUUGCAACUCAGUUUCCGUAAGAAGCAAAUUAGGAAAGGCAUGUUGGAUCCUAUACCAGAAUAUGAAGCAACUGAAAGCCUGGACCAUGCCUCGUCCAGAAUUCCCUUACAGUUGUCUGAAUACUCAAAUCACAAGCCAGAAAAUGAAGACUGCAAUCACUUUUACUCUGGAACAGAAUAUUUAGAAGGUGAAGAUGCGGAACUCUCAUGGUUCAAUGCUGGCGUUAGGGUAGGUGUUGGCAUCGGCCUAAGCAUUUGUCUUGGAAUUGGGAUAGGCGUGGGAUUGCUGGUUCAAACAUAUCAAGGCACGACACGCAACUUUAGAAGGCGGCUACCAUAAGUAAAGAUUUUCCUGAUGCUAUUAUGGCAUUAUACCUUAUUUUCUUCCACUUAUAAUCCUGAAGCUGACUCUUGGUGUUUCCAACAAAUUAUGAUAGUGAAUAAGGUCAUCAUCUGGAUGCAGGUAAUGUAUAAAUAUUAGCUGUUACUGGUUAAGCCUUUCAUCUGAAAUAAAAAGGGUGCUUCUUUUAAAUGUAUUGCACAAUUGGAAACUCCGCAGCUUUUCUAUUCCUUGACGGAGACCCUCCUAUGAGUUCCCAUAUGUGAUCCAGAUCAUGUGGUUUGUGUAACAUGCGAAAAUGCCAUUUACCUCUCAUUAGUGUUAAGUUCUUCAAUUUUGUUUCUUUUAGCAAGAGUGUUAAUAGCAAUGAAAAUGGCUCAACUUUCCUACAUUGACCUGAAUCAUAGCAUGUUUUGCUUGUUCAAUAUAUCAUUUGGAGUUACCACUGUUGUUUUAUGCAGCCUUUGGCACCAUGAUCAUGGAAUUUAAUCUUACAUGUCAUUCUUCUUUUCUCGUCAUUUUUCCUUCACCGGCACAAGCUCUUGCCUGUGAUUAGUAAAAAUGCCUCGCAGAGGAUGACUUACCUACUACUUUUCUCAGUUAUCUUAUUCAUGAACGCCUGAAACAGAAUUGAUGUCCUUCAAAUGCAAACAGCUAAAACAAGUUCAAAUUGCUGAAAUUAGUUUCAGCAUCAAGAAAACGCAAGUCAAUGCAUCCAUCGAGUAGUAUAUUUAGGUUCUGCAUUGUUGAUUGCAAGAUUAUAGAUUCUGGCAUCCACAAACGCAACAACGUGUGCCUUUGAAGGUAGAUUGAGUUACUUUUAUCAAAAACCAAUGUCAAAUUAUCCAAUCCAAAAUCAAAGCAAGCAAAGCAAAUGCAUCAACAGUCAAUUAGAAACCUGUAUGGAGGUAAGAAAAUCUCUUAGGGGAAUUAAUUAUUUACAUCACAUGUUAAGGGGAACAGUCACAUGAUGAAGGCCACUGCCAUCGAUUCAAAAAAAGCUACGGACCCUAAAGGAAAAGGGAAAGAACGCAGAGAAUGCAUUCAGGUUUCCUGAUGCAAACAAAGGUUUUAUGUACAAUCCAUACAACAAUGCGGAAUAAUAUUAACAAUAUUUGCCAAGGAAUUUAGAACCUCCACUGAGAAGCAGCAAACGAGGGCAAUAGUUCACAAAAGAUGGAGCAUCUUUCUAAAAAAGGUUCCUUUGUGAGGGCUGCAUUGCACGGCGGAACCAGGUGUUGAACGCAGAGACCAAAUGAGGACAAUCUUCAACAUUU
rnacentral:misc_RNA from 1 species